rnacentral:rRNA from 1 species
GACGAACGCUGGCGGCGUGCCUAAUACAUGCAAGUAGAACGCACAGUUUAUACCGUAGCUUGCUACACCAUAGACUGUGAGUUGCGAACGGGUGAGUAACGCGUAGGUAACCUGCCUGGUAGCGGGGGAUAACUAUUGGAAACGAUAGCUAAUACCGCAUAAUAUUAAUUAUUGCAUGAUAAUUAAUUGAAAGGUGCAAUUGCACCACUACCAGAUGGACCUGCGUUGUAUUAGCUAGUAGGUGAGGUAACGGCUCACCUAGGCGACGAUACAUAGCCGACCUGAGAGGGUGAUCGGCCACACUGGGACGGAGACACGGCCCAGACUCCUACGGGAGGCAGCAGUAGGGAAUCUUGGGCAAUGGACGAAAGUCUGACCGAGAAACGCCGCGGGAGGGAAGAAGGUUUUCGGAUCGUAAAGCUCUGUUGUAAGGGAAGAACGGGUGUGAGAGUGGAAAGUUCACAGUGUGACGGUAUCUUAUCAGAAAGGGACGGCUAACUACGUG